rnacentral:rRNA from 1 species
CGAACGCUGGCGGCGCGCCUAACACAUGCAAGUCGAACGAGCGAGAGAGAGCUUGCUUUCUUGAGCGAGUGGCGAACGGGUGAGUAACGCGUGAGGAACCUGCCUCAAAGAGGGGGACAACAGUUGGAAACGACUGCUAAUACCGCAUAAGCCCACGGUGCCGCAUGGCACAGAGGGAAAAGGAGCAAUCCGCUUUGAGAUGGCCUCGCGUCCGAUUAGCUAGUUGGUGAGGUAACGGCCCACCAAGGCGACGAUCGGUAGCCGGACUGAGAGGUUGAACGGCCACAUUGGGACUGGGACACGGCCCAGACUCCUACGGGAGGCAGCAGUGGGGAAUAUUGCACAAUGGGGGAAACCCUGAUGCAGCGACGCCGCGUGGAGGAAGAAGGUCUUCGGAUUGUAAACUCCUGUUGUUGGGGAAGAUAAUGACGGUACCCAACAAGGAAGAGACGGCUAACUACGUG